rnacentral:rRNA from 1 species
UACGUAGGGUGCGAGCGUUUAAUCGGAAUUACUGGGCGUAAAGCGUGCGCAGGCGGUUUUGUAAGCCAGAUGUGAAAGCCCCGGGCUUAACCUGGGAAUGGCAUUUGGGACUGCAAGGCUGGAGUGUGGCAGAGGAGACUGGAAUUCCUGGUGUAGCAGUGAAAUGCGUAGAUAUCAGGAGGAAUACCGAUGGCGAAGGCAGGUCUCUGGGCUGACACUGACGCUCAUGCACGAAAGCGUGGGGAGCAAACAGG